rnacentral:rRNA from 1 species
AGUGAACGCUGGCGGCGUGCUUAACACAUGCAAGUCGAACGAGAACGGAUUAUAGCUUGCUAUAAUUGUCAGCUAAGUGGCGUACGGGUGAGUAAUGUAUAGGUAAUAUGCCUCUUACUAAGGGAUAACAAAUGGAAACGUUUGCUAAUACCUUAUACUCCUUAUUAACAGAAGUUAAUAAGGGAAAGAUUUAUUGGUAAGGGAUUAGCCUGUAUUGUAUCAGUUAGUUGGUGGGGUAAUGGCUUACCAAGACUAUGACACAUAACUGGUUUGAGAGGAUGAUCAGUCACACUGGAACUGAGACACGGUCCAGACUCCUACGGGAGGCAGCAGUGGGGAAUAUUGCACAAUGGACGAAAGUCUGAUGCAGCAACGCCGCGUGGAGGAUGACACAUUUCGGUGCGUAAACUCCUUUUAUAUGAGAAGAUAAUGACGGUAUUAUAUGAAUAAGCACCGGCUAACUCCGUGCCAGCAGCCGCAGUAA